GUCCUAGCUGCACAGGUACAGGCUCUAGCUGAAUUACAUUUGGUGCUUUGAUGCAGCUGUAAAUAUCAGCUCUGAGGCCCCAUUGUGUGUUGCAAGCUGUACAAAGAGGUGCUUGCGAUGGAAGACAAGAGGUGUAUGGGAAACAUCGUGCUGUACCUGCCCGCUUCCAUUGAGCUUGUUGAUGGGAAGAGUUUUCUCCAGGCUGUCCAGAAGAACCACCAAAAUCAGAUGAGCCAUCAAAGAACUUUGUACUACAAAGGCUAGGAAAAUGGCCCUAUCACAUGCUACAUGCAAGGCAGCUCAUUCUAUGGACUUGGAGGCUGAACUAAGGAAAUAAAAGGCCAACUAUACUCUACAGAUCCAGUCCUACAUUGGUACAACUGCAGCAAUCCAAAUUCCUGAACGACAAGGACACCAACCCAACACCCCAUAUAGACAGUGCUAAAUCAGCAGGAGAGCGUCUCCCCUUAAACACAGCUAUUGUCACUUGGGAAGGUGAUUAACUAUGCCACUGGGAGAAGCUCUCCUGUCAAUGCAGUGAAGUCUUCACAAAAGCUCUGCAGCAAAGCCUCUGUAGAGCUAUUCAGGUAGACAAGCCUAAGACACAUGAACAUUUUCCAUUUCUUUGCUGUCUGAACUCUGAGAUUCAGACACACUUAACUGAAGCUAGAGAACCCUGGAGGUGAUGAUGAAAAACAUUUUGAAUUGACAGAUCACUACAGUCUGUACAAGAGAAGUUUUAUAUUUAUAAAGUACAAUUCA